UGGAAGCCUCUUGAGUUCGCCAACUCUGAACUUAUUUAGACAAGGUCAUAAUCAAAGUGGAAGUUCUCUCCUCCCUUCAGAGAAAAGUACCUUCCUCUUUGAUGGCCCAUUUUUCCGCUGGGAUCUCACUCACAGAGAUCUUUCAUUCAGGUCAUUUUUGCCGCAGUGUCUUGGCUUUCCAUGCCUGGGAGACUCAUGGGCUUUUUAGCUGGAUCUAAAUACAUUAAGGGCUGAUUCUGAGGCCAGUCUGACUUGGACUACUUAAAUGCUAAAUGAAUUUAUCAACUCCACUCUAGACUUUAACCUCCCUGGGGCAGAUACUCAGUGUCAUUCUCCAGGAGUUCUCCCCCUGUCCCAUGCAGUGCUUCUUAGCAGAGUGAUUAUGAAGAAAGACUGCUUCAUAAGCAUGUCGAGUCAAAACAAGUGGUGCCAUCAACGGGCCAGUGUGACCGCUGAAAGGGGCACAGAUGUCAUCUUCUUGGGAAAGUCGGUCAAUCCAUGGGGACACAUCUCAGAGGAGAUUCUGUGGCCACCAUCUUGAUCAUGCAGCAAAGAGGGCCCUGACUUUUGAUAUCAAGAGCAUCUAUUCUCCAGCAACUGGAUUGGCUUGAUUUCAGUACACUCCAGAUUACUUACUGAAAGUCCUCUGCCCAUCUUUGGGGAAAUAAAUGUAACCCCAAACUGAGGGGCAGCCUUGUGCAGAUUUGAAGUUCUAUUAUAUAGCAAUCUUUAUUUAGGCAGUGGUGGGAAGAGACAGUCUGAUCAAUGGAACAAAACAGAGUUAAAGAUAAGGUCAUCUGAUAUGAUAUGAUGUGAUAAAAGCAUCACUCAAUAUAAUCAGUUGGAAAAUAGCCUUUUUAAUGAUGAUGGGGCAAUUGAACAUGACUAUAGAAUAUCAAGAACCUAGCCUGUGGCCUGCAGGUGGCCUGGUGAGGUGAUUUACCUGAUAAUAGGAUUGUAGGAAAUUCCUAUAAGAUAAUCCUCACAAGACAGUGGCUGCAGCCUAGAAAGAGCUUUCCCUGCAAGGCCAGGGUGUCUCGCAAUCUUUAGAGAAUCCUUGGCUCCUCUGGCAUGAGUUUCUGCUUUCUGCUCCAGGUUUUGAUUCUCACAUCUGUACCAAACAAGAUUGUUUCCGGUUGGUGUUUUCAUUUUAUCAUUUUCGCCCUCCUGAACUGAGAGGCGGGCCUCAGAUUUUCCUGAAAUGAGGAGCUAUCUGGACUUUGCCAGAGUCUGGACUUGGUUCAAAGUCUCCAUAUGGAUGAGUGAGUGUCCCAGCAACAUAUACUGAAAGGACUUCUGAGUACUAUACUAGAUGCAAAAGAACAACAAAUAAUCAAGGAGUUAUGCAAUGGACUAUACUUGCAGAAGAAUUCUCCAAAGAUUGUGUCUUCCACUCUGCAAGGUGUCCGGCGCGUAACAAAUCUUCCCAGGCAGACGAAUCAAUUAAUUCACAGGCUUUUAUUGGGGUUCCGCUCCCGGGCGAGGUUCCCAGGUCCCAACAGAGUGGGGCCGGGGAAGUCACACGUCAGAGGUUGGGAGGGCUCCUUUUGUAGAUUCAGGGCAUGGGGGUUAAAGGUUGAGGCAGGUCUGAUCCUCAUUGGUUGACCUUUAGGCACCCGCAGGGACCUUGACAAGGACUUUUCUUCCCCACAAGUACAUGUAGGGACUUCUCCAUUCCCGGAAGUAUAGGCCUUCCUCCUUGUGGAUCCCAAAGCUACCACACACUUUCAGAAAUAUGCACAUUGCAUGGAAGUUCUUUAAUAUAGCCAUAUUGUUAUUACUAAAAUCACAGCAGUUUCUUUUUGAAGUUAAAUUUAAAAAAAAAGCAAGCCUAUUAAUUAAUGAGGCUUUAUAAUUUAUUAAAUCACAUGGGAAUAUUGAAAACCAAAGAUUUGUAUUAAUAUACAUAAAACACUUUUGCACUUUUCCACAAGUGAUUUUAGUAUGUGUUAAUAUGAUUUUUGUAAAUGUUUCUCUUACAUAGCCUAAUAUUUUGUGCUUUGUGGUCCAUGACAAAGGUUCUGCUCCUUUCUUUUUUUUAAACUCACUUAUUUAUUUGAAAAACAGGGCCACAGAGAGGCAGAGGCAGAGAGAGAAACACAGAGAGAGAGAGAGAGGUCUUCCAUCCACUGGUCCACUCCCCAAAUGGUCUGAAGCCAGGAACCAUGCGGGUGCAGAGGCCCAAGGACCUGAGCCAUCCUCCUCUGCCCUUCCAGGCCACAGCAGAGAGCUGGAUCAGAAGUGGAGCAGCCAGGACUCUAACUGGCGCAACCAUAUGGGAUGCCGGCACCGCAGGCAGUGGCCCGACUCAGCACACCACAGUGCCGGCUCUGGGUGCUGCUUCUAAGCCCUCCAUCCCACAUCAGAGGGCCUGGAUCCAAGUUCAGUCCUGCUCUCCAUUCCAGCUUUCUGCUAACGUGCACCCUGGGAGGCAGCAGUGCUGGCUCAAGGAGUUGGAACCUGGCCCCCUGGCGUGGAGACCUGGAUUGAGUUCCUGACUCUCAGCUUCUACCUGGCCGAACCCCGGCCUUUGCUGGCAUUUGGGGAGUGAACCUGCAGGUGGGAGCUGCCUUUCUUUGUCUUAAACAAACGACUAGAAAAGUGUGGUCUGUGGACCAGCAAUCUCGCCAUCACCCAGGAGAUUGUCAGACAUGGAAACAUCAAACUCCACCCAGAUUCAUCAGGAACCAUUUCAACAAGGACACCUUGCCAAUUCAUUUGCACCAUGAUGUUUGAAAACUACUGUUAUAAUGGGCAGUAUUUGUAUUGUUUAUGGCAUAUAAUCUCAGGGAAAUUAAAUUAGCUCAACUGGAAAAAAAAUUGACCUCCUGAACAAUGCUAUCCUCAUUAGGGAUGAUAUUUACAGCUUUCUUCCUACAUGGUAGCUUUUUGUUGGGUCACAGAUGUUUUUAGUUUUACAUUUUAGUGCCAUUUUUGAGUUUUUUUUUCUGGGUUGCAGCUAAACUACUUGAAAAGGGUUUGUCCCUGUUGGCAGCUCAUGACAAGAGCCUAGGGUGAUUACUGAGGCCAUAAACAAGAGUGUCAAUUUGUUAAGUCAACAACAGGAGUCACUGUGCACUGACUCCUCAUGUAGGAUCUUUGGCCUUAGUGUGCUGGGCUUUGCUCUUGAGAUGUAUUGAGUUGGACCAGACAAUUGCUGAGCACUCCUGACUACUAUUUUGCAUUAUUUUUGUCCCAUUGGCCAGAUUGUCCACCCUCACAUCACCCGUACACUGAUCAAUCCAUUAUGACUUUAUAAAAGACCUUGGCAGUCUGCAAGGAUAUGCUCUUCAGCUUUGUCCACCUUCAAGAUACAUUGAAUAUUCUAGGCCUUUUGUAUCUUCAUAUGAAUAUUAGAAAUAAUCUGUUAAUUUUACAUGCACACACUCACACACUGCUGGGAGUUUGACUGGGAUUGCUGUGAAUCUGUAGGGCAUACAACAAUGUCCCUGGCUUUGUGCCACUGUGUCUCAUACCCCUUUAGGAAGGCCUAUUUAAACCAGGGUGGCAAUUAUAUUUAUUUACAGGCCCAUUAGUAGAGCAACCAGCUGUACAUACACCAGGACUGUGAGCACAUUGAAAUGAAUAGAUAUGAGAUCAAUGCAGCUCUGUACCACGCCAUGCCAACUGUCCCAUGGAUGUCCAAGCUGCUGCCAGCUCGUUCUCUUGUCUUUUAAUUUCCCUCAUUUGCCAAACCAUCAGGGGGUUCAGAGAUUGUAUUUUCCACUAGAACAUUGAACUUGGCUGAACAGGUCUCCAAGUCCAUUUUAGAACUUCCCUUGCAAACAUUUAAUUGCUACUUUCAGCCUAUUUAUAAACAAUUUGUGAUGAAAGCAGGAAAAAAAUCAGUCUCAAACAUCAACCAGCCAUAAAUCUAUUAUUUUCUGAAAGGAAAGUGGCAGAGAAAUAUAUAACAGCCCCAUAGACUCUUCCUAAAAACACCUCCUAAACUAUGCUCUCUGCUGUGUGAGAUUGUCAGUUGUCAUUGUUUCUCUCCUUCCUUUUACUUUUUGCUAUAAUGGCCAGACAACUGGUCACUGGGAUGGGUAUCACACAGGCCACACAAACAGGAACUCUUGGAAAUGAAUCUACCUUAUCUCCAAGGUCAUCAUCCACAGAAAAGUGGUAGAAAAAUGUAACAGCGAUAUUUUCCCUAAACUAGCAGCUUCCUGCAGGAUUUCCAUAUCAUGAAGAGUAGUUUGUUCAAGUGGCUUCCCUCCCAAGAUCGCAGAGUGAGUGACUUAGAGCUAUCCAAAUCUAGGUCAUGGUCUUCUCACUAAUGUUGCUUUAAGAAAUCUCCAAACAUUACAGAUUGAUGGAAUUUUUUAAAGAUUUAUUUAUUUUAUUUGAAAGUCAGAAUUACAGAAUUAGAGGGAGAGACAAAGGGAGAGAUCCUCUAUCUGCUGGUUCACUCCCCAAAUAGCUGCAUCAGCUGGAACUGGGCCAGGCCAAAGCCAGGAGCCGGGAGCUUCAUGCAGGUCUCCCUCAUGGGUGCAGGGGCUCAGAAACCUGGGCCAUCUUCUGCUGCCUUCCCAUGUGCAUUAGCAGGGAGCUAGAUUGGAAGUAGAGCAACACCAAACUGGUGUCCACAUGAGAUGCUGACAUUGCAGGAGACAGCUUAAUCUGCUACCGCCACAAUGCUGGCCCCAGAAAUUGAUAGAAUUCUUAUAGUAAGCAUUCAUAUACUUAAUCAGAUUCUGCUAUUUGCAGCUCCUGUACAUGACCUGUCACACAUCUGUCCAUCCACUUUUGCAUUUUACCAUCUAUCAAAUCACCCUGGUGCUGCAUUUCAAAGCUAAUUCUAUGUAUCAAGGAUUUGCCCAUCAGGCUAAGACCAAGUAAUGGGAACUAGAGCAUACUUUUAUGACUUAAACAACCCCAAAAUGGACGAAACAUAUGAAAUAAAGGUUUUGAAGGUGCUGCAGAAAGCAGUAGAGAAAAAUGAACUCUAAGAGAUAUGAAAUGAAUUGGUGAGCUCUACAGUGCACUCAGCUCAGGAGGGUUUCCAGGAUGUGAUGCAAAGCAACAGAAUCCAGCAGAACUGGGCUGACUCCUGGGAUGAGGAGCUAAGAUAGAGGGAAACCACGACAGCACUGAGUGCUAGAGGGGAGAGAGAUGAGCACAGGUACCACCCUCAGGAAUCCGCCAGGGGUGCCCUUUGGGGUGUGGACUGGUAGAUGGAAGAUAGCUCUCUUUCUCUCUGCUGCUCUGCCUUUCAAUAAAGAAACCAUUUUUUUUAACUUUUAUUUAGUAAAUAUAAAUUUCCAAAGUACAGUUUAUGGAUUACAAUGGCUCCCCCCCCAUAACUUCCCUCCCACUCACACCCCUCCCAUCUCCCACUCCCUCUCCCAUUCCUUUCACAUCAAGAUUCAUUUUCAAUUAUCUUUAUAUACAGAAGAUCGAUUUAGUAUAUAUUAAGUAAAGAUUUUAUCAGUUUGCACCCACACAGAACAUAAAGUGUAAAAUACUGUUUCAGUACUAGUUAUAGCAUUACUUCACAUUGGACAACACAUUAAGGACAGAUCCCACAUGAGAAGUAAGUACACAGUGACUCCUGUUGUUGACUUAACAAUUUGACACUCUUGUUUAUGGCGUCAGAAAUCUCCCUAGGCUCUAGUCAUGAGUUGCCAAGGCUAUGGAGGCCUUUUGAGUUUGCCAACUUCGAUCUUAUUCCAACAGGAUCAUAGUCAAAGUGGAAGUUCUCUCUUCCCUUCAGAGAAAGGUACCUCCUUCUUUGAUGGCCCGUUCUUUCCACUGGGAUCUCACUCGCAGAGAUCUUUAAUUUAGGUCCUCCUUUUUUUUUAUUUUCCCAGAGUGUCUUGGCUUUCCAUGCCUAAAAUAUUCUCAUGGGCUCUUCAGCCAGAUCUGAAUGCCUUAAGGGCUGAUUCUGAGGCCAGAGUGUUAUUUAGGACAUCUGCUAUUCUAUGAGUCCGCUGUGUAUCCUGCUUCCCAUGUUGGAUCAUUCUCUCCCUUUUUGAUUCUAUCAGUUAGUAUUAGCAGCCACUAGUUUUGUUUGUGUGAUCCCUUUAACACUCUUAGACCUAUCAGUGUGAUCAAUUGUGAACUGAAAUUGAUCACUUGGACUAGUGAGAUGGCAUUGGUACAUGCCACCUUGAUGGGAUUGUAUUGGAAUCCCCUGGCAUGAAGAAACCAUUAAAAAAAAAAAGAAUGCUAGUAUGCUUUGUACAGAAAUGCAAGUUUGUUUUAAC